rnacentral:tRNA from 1 species
GGGAUUGUGGCUCAGUGGUAGAGCACUUGCCUAUGAUGUGUGAGGUCCUGGGUUUGAUCCUCAGCACCA